rnacentral:lncRNA from 1 species
AUUAACCUGUGUUUUGUUUAAGGGUCGGAGUGGGUUGGGACGGAUCCGAUCCAGAUGGAUCUAUAUUUGGUUGGAAAGUGAAGUGGGUUAAGUCCAUCCCUAAGCGGAGUAUUCUCCUCAUAUCCGAUCCAAUCCAUCUCUCCAAAACGAAGGAAUGGACUCAACUCACUUGAACAGCAUCUCCUCUCCGCCUCUCCGUUCC